AUGGCUCAGGAUUAACGCUGGCGGCGUGCCUAACACAUGCAAGUCGAACGAAAUAUCUUCGGAUAUUAGUGGCGAACGGGUGAGUAAUGUACAGGUAAUGUACCUUCGUACUGUGAAUAACAAGCUGAAAAGUUUGCUAAUACGGAAUAGUUUCCUUCGGGGGCAUCCUUAAAGGAAUAAAGAUUUAUCGUGCGGAGAUCAGCCUGUAUCCUAUUAGUUAGUUGGUGGGGUAAUGGCCUACCGAGACGACGAUGGGUAACUGGUCUGAGAGGAUGAGCAGUCACAUUGGAACUGAGAAACGGUCCAAACUCCUACGGGAGGCAGCAGUGAGGAAUUUUGCGCAAUGGGGGAAACCCUGACGCAAGCAAGGCCGCGUGAGUGAAGACGGCCUUCGGGUUGUAAAGCUCUGUCGUGUGUGACGAGUAGGGACGGUAACACACAAGGAAGCCUCGGCUAACUACGUGCCAGCCGCAGC
rnacentral:rRNA from 1 species